rnacentral:rRNA from 1 species
ACCCGAAACUGRUUUAGCUAACYGUAAAAAGAGGCGAUCAGUGAAGGUGAAGAGGGUGAUUGGGGUGAAGUCGUAACAAGGUAGCAGUAGGUGAACCUGCAGAAGGAUCA